UCAUAUAAAUUUGACUUUUGAAUAAUUAUGCCAAGUCUGAUAAAUCAAAUGAGUACUCUAUUGCUUUUAGUACAUGAUAAGUUAUAUAUUAAGGCAUUUUAAAAGUAUUUGAAAACUAAAGCCACUGUGACCUGGAGAAAUUACCUGCAUAUCAUGGUAGGGUAGCAUGUCUUCAUGCAAACUUUGUGAGCUAAGCAUAUUACAAAUCAAACUUAUUUUACUGUCUACUCCAAGGCCGUCUCACCACAUAUCAUUCAAAUGUUAUCUACAUGAUUUGAUGUUGAAUAUCAGGCAAAAAGAGUGCUUUAGACAUUUGUAAAGAUAUUUGAAAUUUUACCAACUCUUUGGGUAUUUUAUACCACUAUCUUUGUUUUGUGAUUUCGCUAUAUUUUAUUGAUAUCACUCAUAUUUGAACUCAUGUUCUCAAUUUUGUGUGUGGCUAUAAAUUGAGAAUGUUUUCUGAUGAGAUGUGUCAUCAUGGAAUAAAAUGUGUAUUUAAGAAGUUGUGUCUGUUUUCAAAUACAGUUGUAAAAAUGUUAGGGAGAUGAUGUACAUGUUUUUUUCAUAUAUACAUCCCUUCUUUUUUGUUUGUUUAAAAUUUGUCUCCAUUUACAGGAAUGCCAUCUCAGAUCUACUGUAUUGUAGAAGUUUUAUAUGUCACUGUUUAUUUGAUUAAAUUUUAUGCAGGUUAAAAAGAAAAAUCCAUAUUAGUUGUUUGUAAAUAAAUUGUAUACAUGGAAACCCUUUGGUAAAAGCUUUAGUUUGUUAUCUGAUUUAUUUUAAAUGAAUGCAUACAUCAGAGUUGUUAAGAAAUCCAGAAUAAGAUAAACCGUCCAUGACAAGAAGAGGUGUUUGAUGUUAUCAUAAAUUUUUCCUUUAUGUUUUUAAGGCCAUUAGAUAUGGUUUUGUUUCUUAUGUCUUACCCUCUAAAGGAUACUUCUCCAAUAUUUUUUAUUUUUAAGAUUUAAUUGUUUUUUAAUGUUAUCUAUUGAUGAACAUUGUGUAUGAAUAAAUAAAAGUUAGCAAAUAAUAGAUUGAAUCCUGUAUCAUAUAAACACUUCAUCCCUUAACAUUCAUAUAAGAAGAAAAACUGAACCAAUAUUCCACCCACUUGCCCACUAGCUCAUAAUAGUAAUAUUUGUCUUCUGAAAUCAAAAUAUGAACAGAUGAAGUGGCCUGAAAUAUUUAUUCAUCAUUAUAAGUUUGAUGAUGGUGUACGGUUAAUAUUAAAGCAUGUGUGAUAAUUUUAAAUUAAAACAAUUUUGUACAAAAUCAAAUGUUAAACAGUAGAUUUUAGUGAUUCUUGGAUUUCAUGUUUUUACAUUUUACACCGGUGAGAUUGUAAUAUUUAUAUUGACAUAACAGUUAUAAUCAAGGUGCUUCGGAGCACUGAAGGGUAAAGAUUGCUCUCAUUGUCUAAUUUAAAUCAUUGAAUUAUAUUUAGCCGGGCAAAUUAUAAAAUUUAGUUGGAGUUCUCUUUCUUUGCUGAUGAUUGUAUAUUUGUUUGAUGGAUAUAUUUUUGUAACAGAUUCAUUACUUAUAAAUUUUUAAUAAACAAAAAGUAUGGCAAUUCAAAUACACAUCAAAAGAAACUUAAAUAUAUCUGCCUUUUUAACUUUUUGGAUUGAGCGUCACUGAUGUGUCAUUUGCAGAAGAAACCUGCGUCUGGAGUAAAUGCAAAAUUUAAUCCUGGUAUCAAUGAGGAGUUUAUUUUCAAUUAACAAGUUGCAAGAUAAUUGGAUGUUAUAAAAUUGUGAGUAUUUUUGUUGUUAAUGCAUGCAUUUGAAUCUGAAUAUCCAACAUAUAGGAUAAUAUACUUGGUAUCAUACAUUUUGAUGGAUGGUAGCUCAAGUGCACUAAUACUUGUUUCUGUUUUAUUAUAUGAGUAACCUGUAAAAUAAUAAUGUAUACCAGUAUUAUUGAAUAUGUGAUUGUCUUUAUGUUUAUAUUUUAUGACAUUAAAAAGUAAA
rnacentral:lncRNA from 1 species